rnacentral:rRNA from 1 species
UACGGAGGGUGCCAGCGUUGUCCGGAAUUACUGGGCGUAAAGCGCUCGUAGGCGGUCGCGUACGGCAGUGGUGAAAGCUCCCGGCUCAACUGGGAGAUGCCCAUUGCAACGGCGUGACUUGAGGGUGGUAGAGGCAGAUGGAAUUCCCGGUGUAGCGGUGAAAUGCGUAGAGAUCGGGAGGAACACCCAUGGCGAAGGCAGUCUGCUGGGCCACACCUGACGCUGAGGAGCGAAAGCUAGGGGAGCGAACGGGAUUAGAUACCCCGGUAGUCCUAGCCGUAAACGAUGGAAACUGAGUGUCAGUGGUAUCGACCCCAUUGGUGCUGUAGCUAACGCGUGAAGUUUCCCGCCUGGGGAGUACGGCCGCAAGGUUG